GACGGACGCUGGCGGCGUGCUUAACACAUGCAAGUCGAACGAUGAAGCUGGAGCUUGCUCCGGUGGAUUAGUGGCGAACGGGUGAGUAACACGUGAGCAAUCUGCCCUUGACUCUGGGAUAACUGCGGGAAACUGUAGCUAAUACCGGAUACGAGACCUGAAGGCAUCUUCGGGUCUGGAAAGAAUUUCGGUCAAGGAUGAGCUCGCGGCCUAUCAGCUUGUUGGUGAGGUAAUGGCUCACCAAGGCGACGACGGGUAGCCUGCCUGAGAGGGUGACCGGCCACACUGGGACUGAGACACGGCCCAGACUCCUACGGGAGGCAGCAGUGGGGAAUAUUGCACAAUGGGCGAAAGCCUGAUGCAGCAACGCCGCGGGAGGGAUGAAGGCCUUCGGGUUGUAAACCUCUUUUAGCAGGGAAGAAGCGAAAGUGACGGUACCUGCAGAAAAAGCACCGGCUAACUACGUGCCAGCCGCCGCCGUAA
rnacentral:rRNA from 1 species